GGGAAGGUGGCUCAGUGGUAGAGUGCUUGCCUUGCAUGCAAGAGGUCCUGGGUUUGCUUCCUCA
rnacentral:tRNA from 1 species